UAGGGAAUCUUCGGCAAUGGACGAAAGUCUGACCGAGCAACGCCGCGUGAGUGAAGAAGGUUUUCGGAUCGUAAAACUCUGUUGUUAGAGAAGAACAAGGACGUUAGUAACUGAACGUCCCCUGACGGUAUCUAACCAGAAAGCCACGGCUAACUACGUGCCAGCAGCCGCGGUAAUACGUAGGUGGCAAGCGUUGUCCGGAUUUAUUGGGCGUAAAGCGAGCGCAGGCGGUUUCUUAAGUCUGAUGUGAAAGCCCCCGGCUCAACCGGGGAGGGUCAUUGGAAACUGGGAGACUUGGGUGCAGAAGAGGAGAGUGGAAUUCCAUGUGUAGCGGUGAAAUGCGUAGAUAUAUGGAGGAACAAAAGUGGCGAAGGCGGAUCUCUGGAAUGUAACUGACGCUGAGGCUAGAAAGCGUGGGGAGCAAACAGG
rnacentral:rRNA from 1 species